rnacentral:rRNA from 1 species
AGCUCCAAUAGCGUAUAUUAAAGUUGUUGCAGUUAAAAAGCUCGUAGUUGGAUUUGGGACGGGGGUCGCGCGGUCGGCCGCAAGGUCUGCUACUGUGCGGCCUCGUCAUUUACACUCUCGGAGACCCGUCGUGCACUUCGCUGUGCGCGGCGCGGGACUCGGGACGUUUACUUUGAAAAAAUUAGAGUGUUCAAGGCAGGCUCUGGCCUGAAUACAUUAGCAUGGAAUAAUGGAAGAGGACCUCGGUCCUAUUUUGUUGGUUUCUGGGGCCGAAGUAAUGAUUAAGAGGGACAGUUGGGGGCAUUCGUAUUUAAUUGUCAGAGGUGAAAUUCUCGGAUUUAUGAAAGACGAACAACUGCGAAAGCAUUUGCCAAGGAUGUUUUCAUUAAUCAAGAACGAA